rnacentral:rRNA from 1 species
GCUGGCGGCACGCCUAACACAUGCAAGUCGAGCGGUAGCAUGGGUAGUAGCAAUACUAUCUGAUGACGAGCGGCGGACGGGUGAGGAACACGUAGGAACCUGCCCUCAAGCGGGGGACAACCAGGGGAAACCUUGGCUAAUACCGCAUGAUCUCGCAAGAGGAAAGCCAGCGCCGGACUUGUCCGGUGGAGGCACUUGAGGAGGGGCCUGCGUCCGAUUAGCUGGUUGGCGGGGUAAUGGCCCACCAAGGCGAUGAUCGGUAACUGGUCUGAGAGGACGACCAGUCACACUGGGACUGAGACACGGCCCAGACUCCUACGGGAGGCAGCAGUGGGGAAUAUUGGACAAUGGGGGCAACCCUGAUCCAGCGAUGCCGCGUGAGUGAAGAAGGCCCUCGGGUCGUAAAGCUCUUUAGGCCGGGAAGAAGGUGAUGCGGUGAACAGCCGCGUUGCUUGACGGUACCGGCAGAAUAAGCACCGGCAAACCCUGUGCCAGCAGCCGCGGUAAUACAGGGGGUGCGAGCGUUAAUCGGAAUUACUGGGUGUAAAGGGCGCGUAGGCGGCAAGAUGUGUGC